UACGUAGGGACCAAGCGUUGUUCGGAUUUACUGGGCGUAAAGGGCGCGUAGGCGGCGUGGUAAGUCACUUGUGAAAUCUCUGAGCUUAACUAAGAACGGCCAAGUGAUACUGCAGUGCUAGAGUGUGGAAGGGGCAAUCGGAAUUCUUGGUGUAGCGGUGAAAUGCGUAGAUAUCAAGAGGAACACCUGAGGUGAAGACGGGUUGCUGGGCCAACACUGACGCUGAUGCGCGAAAGCCAGGGGAGCAAACGGG
rnacentral:rRNA from 1 species